GAAGACGUUCAUUAGAGCACCCACCAGCAGGACAUAACGGAGACGCCCCUGCAGCCGACAACACGCAUCUUCCCACGCCUUAUCUCAAACCUUCCCUCCUGUAAGCGUCAAGUCCCUUUCUAACAAGAGAAAUUCAACUCAAUCGCAAGAUAAGGGGAGGUCAUCUAGCAACUCUUCAACACUAAGUCCUGCUCGUGAAGUAAACAAGAUGGCGAGGUCUGCUCUUGUCUGGCUUUGUGUGGCCUUCAUGUUGGUGGCCGUCACGAUGGCCGUGUUUCCCCUGGAGAAGUUUCUAGACUGUUCCAAGGACAUCCGUGUGGACUGUGUCAACGCUGACUGUGACGGGCCGGAUGGAACCAUGUGGAAAGUCGGCUGUCCAAUGACGUGCAACGCGUGCCAGCCCUCGUAGUGCAGUCGUCAGUUGCUGCACGGUGCAGUGGUCAAUCGCUACACGGUGCAGUGGUAUACAGAAGGUGGAAAGACGUUUUAUUUGACACUACAUACAACUGUAUAUAAACUUGUUGUGCCAAGGGAUUUAACUGCAGUUCAAGAAAACAAAAUUCGUCAACAGCUUCUAAAUCACGGGAACAUUUUAUUUGUUUGCGAGAGUAAUGAAGUUAGGACUUAAUGUGUAUUUCCGGUAGUUGCAACGUUUCGGACAAUAUUAUUUUUGAGGAAAACUACAGUUAUGAAUUUAAUAAAGCCUUGGUAGGA